rnacentral:rRNA from 1 species
GUGUGCCUGGAGAUGGCCGGUGCUUUUACGCUGAAAAAGUUAGAGUGCUUAACACAGGCGAGUCGUCUGAAUGAACCUGCAUGAAAUUAUAGAACAAGACCUCGUUUCUGUACUGUUGGUUUUUGGAAUACUAAGAAUGAUUCGAGGGACGGAGGAGGGCAUUCGUAUUAUGACGCUACAGGAAAAUUUCUUGGACCGUCGCAAGACGAACUACUGCGAAAGCAAAUGCCAAGAAUGCUUUUAUA